rnacentral:rRNA from 1 species
GACGAACGCUGGCGGCGUGCUUAACACAUGCAAGUCGAACGGAAAGGCCCUGCUUGCAGGGUACUCGAGUGGCGAACGGGUGAGUAACACGUGGGUGAUCUGCCCUGCACUUCGGGAUAAGCUUGGGAAACUGGGUCUAAUACCGGAUAGGACCGCACUUUAGUGUGUGUGGUGGAAAGUUUUUUCGGUGUAGGAUGAGCUCGCGGCCUAUCAGCUUGUUGGUGGGGUAAUGGCCUACCAAGGCGGCGACGGGUAGCCGGCCUGAGAGGGUGUACGGCCACAUUGGGACUGAGGUACGGCCCAGACUCCUACGGGGGGCAGCAGUGGGGAAUAUUGCACAAUGGGCGCAAGCCUGAUGCAGCGACGCCGCGUGGGGGAUGAAGGCCUUCGGGUUGUAAACUCCUUUCGCUAGGGACGAAGCUUUGUUGUGACGGUACCUAGAGAAGAAGCACCGGCUAACUACGUG